UACGUAGGGUGCAAGCGUUGUCCGGAAUUAUUGGGCGUAAAGAGCUCGUAGGCGGUCUGUCACGUCGGCUGUGAAAACCCGAGGCUCAACCUCGGGCCUGCAGUCGAUACGGGCAAACUAGAGUACUGCAGGGGAGACUGGAAUUCCUGGUGUAGCGGUGAAAUGCGCAGAUAUCGGGAAGAACACCCGUGGCGAAGGCGGCUCUCUGGAACGGUACUGACGCUGAGACGCGAAAGCGUGGGGAGCGAACAGG
rnacentral:rRNA from 1 species